rnacentral:rRNA from 1 species
AACGAACGCUGGCGGCAUGCCUAACACAUGCAAGUCGAACGAGACCUUCGGGUCUAGUGGCGCACGGGUGCGUAACGCGUGGGAAUCUGCCCUUGGGUUCGGAAUAACAGUUGGAAACGACUGCUAAUACCGGAUGAUGACGUAAGUCCAAAGAUUUAUCGCCCAAGGAUGAGCCCGCGUAGGAUUAGCUAGUUGGUGAGGUAAAGGCUCACCAAGGCGACGAUCCUUAGCUGGUCUGAGAGGAUGAUCAGCCACACUGGGACUGAGACACGGCCCAGACUCCUACGGGAGGGAGCAGUGGGGAAUAUUGGACAAUGGGCGAAAGCCUGAUCCAGCAAUGCCGCGUGAGUGAUGAAGGCCUUAGGGUUGUAAAGCUCUUUUACCCGGGAUGAUAAUGACAGUACCGGGAGAAUAAGCUCCGGCUAACUCCGUG